rnacentral:tRNA from 1 species
UGGCUCAGUUGGCAGAGCAUGGUGUUUACAACGCCAGCAUGGUGGUGCAACGCCAGGGUUGUGGGUUCGAUUCCCAC